rnacentral:rRNA from 1 species
UCUGUAGCCAUACCACCUUGAACACACCUGAUCUCACCCGGUCUCGGAAGCUAAGCAUGGUGGUAAGUACUAAGCCUGGUUAGUACUUGGUUGGGAGAA